AUUGAACGCUGGCGGCAGGCCUAACACAUGCAAGUCGAACGAGUGGCGGACGGGUGAGUAAUGUCUGGGAAACUGCCUGAUGGAGGGGGAUAACUACUGGAAACGGUAGCUAAUACCGCAUACCAUCGGAUGUGCCCAGAUGGGAUUAGCUAGUAGGUGGGGUAAAGGCUCACCUAGGCGACGAUCCCUAGCUGGUCUGAGAGGAUGAUAAGCAACACUGGAACUGAGACACGGUCCAGACUCCGACGGGAGGCAGCAGUGGGGAAUAUGGCACAAUGAGAGCAAGCCUGAUGCAGCCAUGCCGCGUGUAUGAAGAAGGACUUAGGGUUGUAAAGUACUUUCAGCGGGGAGGCGUUACCCGCAGAAGAAGCACCGGCUAACUCCGUGCCAGCAGCCGCGGUAAUUC
rnacentral:rRNA from 1 species